rnacentral:misc_RNA from 1 species
AACGCACGAGACCUGCGGACCUGCGGAGGGAUCAUUAAUGAGAAGCUGCCCCUCGUGGGUAGACCUCCCACCCUCUGUGAACUUACCUUUGUUACUUUGGCAGGCCCGUCCUCUGGACCGCCGGCUUCGGCUGGCCCGUGCCUGCCAGAGGAUUCCAAACCCUGUCUGUCAGUGUUGUCUGAGUCUAUAUGAAAUCGUUAAAACUUUUAGCAAUGGAUCUCUAGAUCGGAAGAGCACACG